AGAGUUUGAUCCUGGCUCAGAAUGAACGCUGGCGGCAUGGAUUAGGCAUGCAAGUCGAACGGGUCCCUUCGGGGACUAGUGGCGCAAGGGUGAGUAACACGUGAGCAACCUGCCCCCGAAUCCGGAAUAAUCCAGGGAAACUUGGUCUAAAACCGGAUGUCGGCGUUUACCCGCAUGGGUUUCCGCCGAAAUAUCAUAGUUCGGGGAUGGGCUCGCGUCCCAUUAGCUGGUUGGCGGGGUAACGGCCCACCAAGGCUACGACGGGUAGGUGGUCUGAGAGGAUGGUCACCCACACUGGGACUGAGACACUGCCCAGACUCCUACGGGAGGCUGCAGUCGAGAAUCUUCCGCAAUGGGCGCAAAGCCUGACGGAGCGAUGCCGCGUGAGGGAAGAAGGCCUUCGGGUUGUAAACCUCUGUCACCCGGGACGAAAUCAAUGACGGUACCGGGAAAGGAAGCCACGGCUAACCACGUGCCAGCAGCAGC
rnacentral:rRNA from 1 species